GGUCACUUCCUUUGGUCAGUAAGGGAGCAGCUUUCGGGACCCACCCCCAAACGAUGAUGUUUAGGGGACCCUCUCAGGGCCUACAAGGAUCUGGGUCUCCUCCUCUCUGUCAUUAUUCUAUUUUGCCAGCAGUGCCCAGAACUUGGUUCUGCUUCAAGCCGCAGAGUGGAGGAGAAGACACCAAGUCUUGGAGAUGCUGUUUCAUGGAGUCUUGGCUUUGCGGAACAUAAGGAGUUUCGCUCUUGCUGCCCAGGCUGGAGUGCAGUGGCACGAUCUCACCUCACCGCAACCUCCGCCUCCAGGGUUCAAGCAGUUCUCCUGCCUCAGCCUCCCGAGUAGCUGGGAUUACAGAAGCAAGCAACUAUGUUGUGAUCAGCCCCAGGAGAGGGUCAUGUGGCAGGAAAUGGUAGGUGGCUCCAGGACCUGAGGGAAGCCAGCAGUCAGCGAGACGCAGGGUGCCUUCCAUCACUGGUUGCAAGGAAAUGAAUUCUGCCAAGUUGGACGAGCUUGACAGCAGAUUCUUCCCCACUCGCACCUCCAGAUGAGAAUGCAGCCUCUCCCUCCAACACCUUGACUGUAGCCCCAAGAGACCCUGAGCAGAAGACACAGCCAAGCAGUGCCCAGACUUCACCCAUGGAAACUGUGGAAGAAUAAAUGUGUGCUGUU